rnacentral:misc_RNA from 1 species
GAUGCUCGCCCUGCCGCAGGAC